rnacentral:lncRNA from 1 species
UGGGUUUCUUCUUUAGAUUCUUAACAUAGAAUACAUCUAGUGCGUUUUCAGUGUUGAAUCAAAAUCGGUCCAUAAAGUCAGAUGCCAUGUUCACCCAACUUGUCCAUUUCUUUUCAUCCUGGCCUGAUAUACCAUGAUAAAGCAUCGCCUUUCAGACUCCUCAUGAACAGUUUCAUGCGGAUUUUCUCAUCCCUUCCGACUCCUACCAGCGUAUCAAAAUAAGUUCUCAUGUGAACCCUGGGAUCAC